rnacentral:rRNA from 1 species
GCACGGCUAACUACGUGCCAGCAGCCGCGGUAAUACGUAGGGUGCGAGCGUUGUCCGGAAUUACUGGGCGUAAAGAGCUCGUAGGUGGUUUGUCGCGUCGUUUGUGUAAGUCCACGGCUUAACUGUGGGACUGCAGGCGAUACGGGCAUAACUUGAGUGCUGUAGGGGAGACUGGAAUUCCUGGUGUAGCGGUGAAAUGCGCAGAUAUCAGGAGGAACACCGAUGGCGAAGGCAGGUCUCUGGGCAGUAACUGACGCUGAGGAGCGAAAGCAUGGGUAGCGAACAGGAUUAGAUACCCUGGUAGUCCAUGCUGUAAACGGUGGGCGCUAGGUGUGAGUCCCUUCCACGGGGUUCGUGCCGUAGCUAACGCAUUAAGCGCCCCGCCUGGGGAGUACGGCCGCA